GAGGAAGAGAUUUCCACCUUCCUCACUUUCUCUCUCUAGGAUUUCUCUCUCUUUGAGUAGAAAUCGCCGAUUUGCGCCUAUUUCUCGUCGAUCUUCACACUAGCUGGUUUGUGGACUUUGGAGCAGCUACGAGCGGGUGGGAAGGACUCGCAGGGGAGGUAUUUUCGCAGCUCCAACUUCCAGGAAAGCUGAGUUGAAGUCUAGUGAGCUGGAUUAGAAUGGUUUAGAGCAGCAUUUGAGGAGUGGUUUAGCUGUAAUCCUUCACCCGAAAAUCAGAUUUGAAAACCUGAAGGUUUCCAGAUUAAUUUGAGCUGAGUUAUUGACCUUGGGAGCUGGUCUAGAAGGUGUUUCAACCUGGGCGAGGUUGCGACGGGCCGUCGGAUUAUCUUCGGCUGCUAUUGGAGAGCCUUUAGAGGUUAAACUGGAGCGGGAUUGAGACCCAAUUGUGAUGAAUUUCAGGACACAAUUGAGCUGGUUUAAGCUGAAUUUAGAGAGCCUUUGCUGGAAGUGAAGUGUAAACCUAAGAAGCUUGAUUACCCGGAUCGCUUAGCUACGUGAACUCGACAAAAGGCGUCGUUUAUAGGUGGGUCUGACCUUCCCGAAAUGGGUGAAUUCCCUCUAUGUCUCCUUUGACAUCUGAGUUGAAGUUAUUUCAUAUUCAUGUGAAUAUAUGUAUAGUUAGGGCGUUGAGACAUGCACUGAUAUGUAGAUCAUAUCGGAAAUGAUAGUAUCUUUAAAAAGCAAUGAAAGAUUCAUGACUUGUCCAUCCUACAUGGUUACCU